GUCGCAGGCCGCAUUGCUCGUUCCCCACAGGAGUCCGGUUGCUUCGUGCGCCGUUCUUCCCACAUCGCGAGCGGGUAAGGUCUGAGGAUUCUAAACCCUCCUAGAUCGACUCUAGCUGGGUCCGACAGUAACCUGUCGAGCGACACACCAGAAAUACGCACCGAGCUCGUACAAUCCGCCCAACGAUCCGCUUUAGGGGAGGGCACGUCGAGUUCGGCUGCUUGGGACAUGUCGCGAGGGUUCGGCCCGCAACCACCGAC
rnacentral:RNase_P_RNA from 2 species